rnacentral:lncRNA from 1 species
CCCGACAUCAACACUUAAAACUAAAGUAUGGGAAUCAUGGUUAAAACUCCUAAAACAUGGGAAUUUCAUUAGAUAUGUGAAAAUUAUAAACUUAUACAUGAGAAUAUCUUAAACAUAAGGGAAAUAGUAGGAUUUCAUGGCAAGAAUCAUAACUUGGAUAUUUAUCAUGAAUCAACUGAACAUGACAUGUGAAUUACAAUAUUCAAAACAUGAUAUGAC